AUCUUAAAAUCUCUAUAAAUGCAACUAUAUAAUCUCGAGAAUUAAAAUACUAUAAUGUGGGGGAAGAAUCACACAAACUCACUGGGAAACUCACUGGUGGUAUCUCUUAAAGUGUCCCGUUUUCUCAACACACCACAGCAUAACAGCACACAGUAAAAUUCCAGGAAUCCAAGUCCGAACCACUGGGGCAGAGGAACCCCCCAGUUCGUCUAGCCACUGUUCAAAUGCACACAAAUCACCGCCUUUAAACACAGUGAACGUCCUCAGCCCCGUUUCUCCGCUUGUUUCCCUUCCCCGCGGGCACUCAGGCCCAGGAGCGAGGCCGGGCCCUGCCGGCUCUGAGGGACUGCCCAGCAGUGCUGCUCUGGCACCCCAGGGCCCUCUCAGUCCGGCCCUUUAUCGCACACCAGCGCUCCUUGGCUGUCUCCGCAGGUGGCAAGUGAGGCAGAGCAGAGCCCCUCCAGGGAAAUUCCCCGGGUGUGCCAAGGAGGUCUGUUCUACCCCCUGCCCCUGCGAGGACAGAAAAUCUCCUGCCUGGCUCGCCAUGAUGAAACACGGAUGAAAAUCAAACCCUACAAUUUUAAUAAAGAUUUGUAGGGAAUGGGAAAAUCCCCAUUCCCUGUUUCCUUGUGGCUGCAGCCUGGAACAUCCACUCAGAAUGAUGAACUUUCUGACAGCCCUGCUGAAUGACACCAGGACAAGGUUGGUGAGAAACGGAGGAAAAUGUGUUUUGAUAGGAAAUUACAAAAUUA